GAAGACGUUGGAGUGACGUGUAAGAUGGGCGCAGUUGGAAGGACAACACAAGAACCUACAACUGCUAAACCAUUGCUGACCAAACCAUUGACCAGCAGCGUCACUGAGAGGCCAACAACAAAUAAGAAACAGCGAACUGGAGAGCCUGGCUGCGGUAAUUUUACACCGAAAGCGAAUUGCUCAAAAGAAGAUGAUGGUAAGAAAAACAUAUACAAAACAUGUACAUAGAUAUAGCCAAGCAUACUAAAAGAUUCUAUCAUAAUCAGUUAACCCUUCAAAAAAGUCUAAAGAAUCUAGAAUCUAUAGGCUUUUGUCAUAAUUCUGAUGUUCAAAUAUUUUGAUGUCAGAAUUUUGUAUGCAGUUAAGAAAUCUUGAAGGAUUCAAGAUAUCUUAACUUUGAUGGGUUGCUAUGGCUACUAGUGGAGACAAGAGGCGAUUUGUUUAGCUAGUGAGACAUAGUUAUAUCAUUUCGGUAAUCAAUGAUUUACGAGUAAGCUGUAGAAUGUAUUGAUAACGUACCAAAGUGGAGUAGAAUGAUGUGAUGGUCACCGAGGCUGUAGCAGACGUUAAUGGCUGUGGAAAGUUGGGUAAGUACUGAAACACUUUUGCUCACACAUGCAUUUGGGAAGGUACGUUUUAUAAUGGGGGAGAGCGGGAUGCAAGAUUCGCAGUAAAUUUUUUUUAGCUGAUUGUAGCCCUCGCCUUUUAUUCAGUAAGAAAUAUAUGACCCUCCUAUAGAGUUAACAAGGAAAAAUAUUUCGUCAGAAAAUAAAAAUGUUUGACCUGCCAAAAAAGUUAUUUUUUUUUUACUAUUGACAUUCCCCUCGAAAGCCCAAGCCUUCCCCAAUAAAAGAGGUACCUUAUUUCGUUCUUCAGUUCCUUUUAUUUCGUGAACCGGAACGGUUCUUUAAUUGGUUUACAUCUUUCAUCUCCAGUCUUCUCAUUUAUACCUUUUCGUGUUAGUUGUCCUAUUGAUUGAUUGCUUCAUUCAUUAAACAGAUUUAAACCUCCAUUUCUUUCUUCUUCUUUUUUCUCUCCCUCGCACCCAUUCGUUCUUUUAUUCAUUUUUCAUUCAUUUAUUCAAUCGUUCGCUUUUUUUAUCCACCCAUCCACUUCUUAUUUUGCUUUGUGCUUUGUUUUUGCAUUCGUUUUUUUUGACCACACAGGAAGCCCAUUAGAGUAAAGAAAAGAACAGUGAUGAACUACUAAACCAAAGAUGAUGACGUCACCACAGUUGAAUUACGUCACUAAACUGUGAUCAGAAUGAUGCAGACAGACAGACAGAGCUAUAACUAAAUAAGUAUAUUCAAAUAGUUAGUUAGGUAGUCAGUCAACAGUCAAUUUAUAGAUGUAUAUUUUAUUGAAGUAUAUAAUUAUAGAUGUGAAUAUGAAUAUAAAUCAACAAGUACAAUUGUAUGUACCAAUAAAGACACAUAUAUAGAUACAAAAUAAAUAAAUGUAAACACCAAAGCAUUUUAUGCCAUCUCCCCUACCCCUCCCUCCUCCAUAGACAGACUUUGCACCCCCUCCCCCUCCGCCAUCCAUGACAAGGAGGACUGAUCAGGACUUUCUCCACCACUAACGAAAGCAGUCAGCUCAUUCCUUAUGGUUUGAUUAAGAUUUUGCUUUGCCUGCCUGUUUUUUAGCCUAGGCUAUUCAUAUUUAGACUAGCUUAUUAUGAGAAAGCAAAAUAUAAACUAUUAAUGUAUGGGUAGGGUUGGGAAACUGUACUAAAUGUUCCUCUAUAUUUGGCGCGCACACGCUUAAAGGCUUGAAUACGUUUGACCUUAUUAGUUCAAAUUUUAGUAAAAUAUAAAAAGCACCGUAAUCAUAAAAAAA